CCGAAAUUAAUCACUCGCGCGCCUCAAACCCUAAUCCCCAAAUCGUCUCUCUCUCUCCCUCUCUCCACGGCGGCGGGCGUUGGACGGGGAUUGGGGAUUUGAUCAGCGGCGCAGCAGGCGGCGGCCCCUCGGUCGGGUGGCCAUGGCAGGGCAGUCCGACCCGCACCUCUCCAUCUUCUCGCCUUCCGAGGUGGAGUUCGUGGCGGAGGAUGAGAUCGUCGAAAUCGUCCCCAACAUCCGCAUGGACGCUCUCAACAUGAUCUGCGGGGAUUUUGGGCCCUUCUUCCCGCAAAUUCCGACCAAGGUGCCUCUAUGGCUUGCAGUGGCGCUCAAGAAGCGUGGAAAGUGCACCAUCCGCAACCCUGAGUGGAUGACUGUUGGCCGUUUGACACAGGUAUUGGAUGCAGAAAGAGAGUCACCUAGAGAAUUUCAGCCAUUACCAUUACACUAUAUUGAAAUAACUAAGCUUCUGUUUGAUCAUGCUCGUGAUGACAUCUCAGAUGCAUACUUGGUCAGAUCUUUGAUUGAGGACAUCAGAGAUGUUCGAUUCCAUAAGGUUGAGACUGGAUUAGAGACAAUAUCUGGACGUACUCAUGCUGUCAAGCUCAAAAAUCUCUCUGCAAUGGAAGUGAAUAUUGUCCGCCCUUUCAUGGUGAGAACUUUGCAGGCAUUCUAUAAGCAUGAUAGCCCACAGAUGAUUCAGCAAGCAGAUAAUUCAGGGAGCAGACCAACACCAGUUGCAGACCGUGGUCCAAGAAGAGAUCUAAGGCGCAGGUAGUAAGCAUGAUAUGCAUGGGCCUAUCAUUUGUCUUUGCAAAUUAUUUACUCCAUAUCUGUGGAUUGCAGUUUGUGGAGGUUUCAAAUUUUUUAAUUCAUCAGAGAAGUGCUCAUGUUUGGACAAUGAUGUCAUUCCUUCUGUGACUAUCCAUCAACCAUCAAUUGUUCCCCAAGCUUGAAUAAAGAAGUACAAGGGCUCACAUCACAUGGUUGCUCUAGCGCUGUUUGUGGGAGCUAUUUCCCCAACUGACUACACAGUGGUUCCAACUUCGAAGUACCAUUACAUUUCUAGUCGGCCGCCCGGCCGUUGCGAUUCACAUUUUCUUUUCUGGAGAAUUAUGAGCUUGCUGAUAGCUCUCAUUGUGGCUAGCACUGAUUAAAGAUUCCAGACAAGACAGAUUAUGAAAUGAGCAACGUGACAAUAUCUACCUUUUUUUUUUCCUAGCGCCGUCAGGGUUGACGAGGCCCGCCAGACCGUUGACUCCACGCGGCCGCGGCGCGCCGUCAGGGUUGACGAGGCACAUCCCAUCCCAUCAUCCACUUGUUUCUCUCUCUUGCUCCUCUUCAAAUAAUCGCAUUUUUUUUAUUCGCUCAAAUGAGUUACAUAGGGCAUCAAGCUGCAACUUGAGCAAUUGUUUCUUUUUUUUAACGGUUGACUAAAGGAGUGUGAAUAAUAAGAUUUGGAUCAACUGGCCGUUGGAUUAUUUGACGAGGCCCGCCAGACCGUUGACUCCACGCGGCCGCGGCGCGCCGUCAGGGUUGACGAGGCACAUCCCAUCCCAUCAUCCACUUGUUUCUCUCUCUUGCUCCUCUUCAAAUAAUCGCAUUUUUUUUAUUCGCUCAAAUGAGUUACAUAGGGCAUCAAGCUGCAACUUGAGCAAUUGUUUCUUUUUUUUAACGGUUGACUAAAGGAGUGUGAAUAAUAAGAUUUGGAUCAACUGGCCGUUGGAUGUUUC